AUGUAUAGCUAAAGCUAAAUGUAUUAUGUAAUAAUACAGAUUGGAUUUAUUCUUAUAAAAUUCUAGAUAGAAUUAUGAUAAUGACAUUGUCUAUCUACAAGUCUUGACCAAAUUACGUGCCAGCAGUCGCGGCAAUACGUUGAAGACUAGUGUUAUUCAUAUUUAAUAGGUUUAAAGCGUACCUAGACAGUAAAUCAAGCCUUAACCGGGACUAAUUUAACUAGAGUUAGAUGUAAGGGUGCAUAAACGUACUGUUGAGUGUAGAGAUGAAAUUCUAUUAUACCAGAUUAUUGGCACGGGUUUAGGCGAAAGCAUCGCCUUAUGUAAUAACUGACGUUGAGGGACGAAGGCUUUGUGUCGCGAACAGGAUUAGAUACCCUAGUAGUCUAAGCAGAAAAUUAUGAGUGUCAUAGGUUAAAUAUUGUUUGGUCUAUAAAUGAAAGUGUAAGCAUUCCACCUCAAGAGUAAUUUGGCAACAUUGGAAUUGAAAUCAUUAGACCGUUUCUGAAACCAGUAGUGAAGUAUGUUGUUUAAUUAGCUAACCCUCUAAGAACCUUACCACAACUUGAAUAUUUUACAAGCGUUGCACGGCUGUCUUCAGUUAAUGUCGUGAGAUUGUGGUUAGUUCCAUUAAAUUAA
rnacentral:rRNA from 1 species